rnacentral:rRNA from 1 species
UACGGAGGGGGCUAGCGUUGUUCGGAAUUACUGGGCGUAAAGCGCGCGUAGGCGGACCUGCAAGUCGGGGGUGAAAGCCCGAGGCUCAACCUCGGAACUGCCUUCGAUACUGCGGGUCUCGAGUCCGGGAGAGGUGAGUGGAAUUCCUAGUGUAGAGGUGAAAUUCGUAGAUAUUAGGAAGAACACCAGUGGCGAAGGCGGCUCACUGGCCCGGAACUGACGCUGAGACGCGAAAGCGUGGGGAGCAAACAGG